rnacentral:rRNA from 1 species
UAGGGAAUCUUCCGCAAUGGGCGAAAGCCUGACGGAGCAACGCCGCGUGAGUGAUGAAGGUCUUCGGAUCGUAAAACUCUGUUAUUAGGGAAGAACAAAUGUGUAAGUAACUAUGCACGUUUUGACGGUACCUAAUCAGAAAGCCACGUCUAACUACGUGCCAGCAGCCGCGGUAAUACGUAGGUGGCAAGCGUUAUCCGGAAUUAUUGGGCGUAAAGCGCGCGUAGGCGGUUUUUUAAGUCUGAUGUGAAAGCCCACGGCUCAACCGUGGAGGGUCAUAGGAAACUGGAAAACGUGAGUGCAGAAGAGGAAAGGGGAAUUCCAUGUGUAGCGGUGAAAUGCGCAGAGAUAUGGAGGAAAACCAGUGGCGAAGGCGACUUUCUGGUCUGUAACUGACGCUGAUGUGCGAAAGCGUGGGGAUCAAACAGG